rnacentral:rRNA from 1 species
UGGGGAAUUUUGGACAAUGGGCGAAAGCCUGAUCCAGCAAUGCCGCGUGUGUGAAGAAGGCCUUCGGGUUGUAAAGCACUUUUGUCCGGAAAGAAAUCCUUGGCUCUAAUACAGUCGGGGGAUGACGGUACCGGAAGAAUAAGCACCGGCUAACUACGUGCCAGCAGCCGCGGUAAUACGUAGGGUGCAAGCGUUAAUCGGAAUUACUGGGCGUAAAGCGUGCGCAGGCGGUUUGCUAAGACCGAUGUGAAAUCCCCGGGCUCAACCUGGGAACUGCAUUGGUGACUGGCAGGCUAGAGUAUGGCAGAGGGGGGUAGAAUUCCACGUGUAGCAGUGAAAUGCGUAGAGAUGUGGAGGAAUACCGAUGGCGAAGGCAGCCCCCUGGGCCAAUACUGACGCUCAUGCACGAAAGCGUGGGGAGCAAACAGGAUUAGAUACCCUGGUAGUCCACGCCCUAAACGAUGUCAACUAGUUGUUGGGGAUUCAUUUCCUUAGUAACGUAGCUAACGCGUGAAGUUGACCGCCUGGGGAGUACGGUCGCAAGAUUAAAACUCAAAUGAAUUGACGGGGUCAUAGCUGUUUCCUA